AGAGGGGGCAAGCGUUGUUCGGAAUUACUGGGCGUAAAGGGCGCGUAGGCGGCCGCCUAAGUCAGACGUGAAAUCCCUCGGCUCAACCGGGGAACUGCGUCUGAUACUGGGUGGCUUGAAUUCGGGAGAGGGAUGCGGAAUUCCAGGUGUAGCGGUGAAAUGCGUAGAUAUCUGGAGGAACACCGGUGGCGAAGGCGGCAUCCUGGACCGAGAUUGACGCUGAGGCGCGAAAGCCAGGGGAGCAAACGGGAUUAGAUACCCCGGUAGUCCUGGCCCUAAACGAUGAGUGCUUGGUGUGGCGGGUAUCGAUCCCUGCCGUGCCGAAGCUAACGCAUUAAGCACUCCGCCUGGGGAGUACGGUCGCAAGGCUG
rnacentral:rRNA from 1 species